rnacentral:rRNA from 1 species
UACGUAGGUGGCAAGCGUUGUCCGGAAUUAUUGGGCGUAAAGCGCGUGUAGGUGGUUUUGUAAGUCAGACGUUAAAGCCUCCGGCUCAACCGGAGUUCGCGUCUGAUACUGCGAAACUAGAGAGAUUCAGAAGAAAGCGGAACUUGCGGUGUAGCGGUGAAAUGCGUAGAUAUCGCAAGGAACACCAGUGGCGAAGGCGGCUUUCUAGGGAUUUUCUGACACUGAGACGCGAAAGCUAGGGGAGC